rnacentral:rRNA from 1 species
AUUGAACGCUGGCGGCAGGCCUAACACAUGCAAGUCGAACGAGUGGCGGACGGGUGAGUAAUGUCUGGGAAACUGCCUGAUGGAGGGGGAUAACUACUGGAAACGGUAGCUAAUACCGCAUACCAUCAGAUGUGCCCAGAUGGGAUUAGCUGGGUGGUGGGGUAACGGCUCACCAAGGCGACGAUCCCUAGCUGGUCUGAGAGGAUGACCGGCAACACUGGAACUGAGACACGGUCCAGACCCCUACGGGAGGCAGCGGUGGGGAAUAUUGGACAAUGGGCGAAAGCUUGAUGCGGCCAUGCCGCGUGGAGGAGGAAGGCCUUCGGGUUGUAAAGUACUUUCAGCGGGGAGGCGUUACCCGCAGAGGAAGCACCGGCUAACUCCGUGCCAGCAGCCGCGGUAAUUC